AUUUACCGUCAAGCUCAUCUUGUCAGCCAACGUGUACGGUGUUAUAACCUUAAUUACCCAAAAGAUCAGAGGUGUCAUGGAAGGUUACGAAGUAAAUAGGCGUCAUGAUCGGGAGUUUUGGCGUUCACGACGAGAUUUUUUAAAGGGGUACAACUUCACUAAGAUAGAUGAUGGUUUAAAGGGAAAGAUGAAGAGGUCGAUGAAAGAAGUCAAGCGAUCAGCUAGUGGAGUGGUCGGAGGAAUUUGUGACGAUAUGACCAAAAGGAAGCUUGGAAUUAGGGUUUAUAGGCUCACAAUUGGUUUGCCAUCAAUGGUUCUUGUGAGAAUGAAAUGUUUUGUGCCAUCGUAUAGGGAGAGAGACAGUCUCUAAAUUCUAUAAAUCUCUAUAUAUUGUCAUUUUAAUUUUAAUUUUUUCUCUUG